UACGUAGGGGGCUAGCGUUGUCCGGAAUCAUUGGGCGUAAAGCGCGCGUAGGCGGCCUGGUAAGUCCGCUGUGAAAGUCAAAGGCUCAACCUUUGAAUGUCAGCGGAUACUGCCGGGCUAGAGUCCGGAAGAGGCGAGUGGAACUCCUGGUGUAGCGGUGGAAUGCGCAGAUAUCAGGAAGAACACCAACGGCGAAGGCAGCUCGCUGGGACGGAACUGACGCUGAGGCGCGAAAGCGUGGGGAGCGAACAGG
rnacentral:rRNA from 1 species